UUCCGUGUAGCUCAGUUGGUAGAGCAUGGUGCUUGCAACGCCAGCGUUGUGGGUUUGAUUCCCACGGCGGACC
rnacentral:tRNA from 1 species